CAUGUGGCUCAGUUGGUAGAGUGUCGCCUUGGUAAGGCGGAGGUCGUCGGUUCAAGUCCGAUCAUG
rnacentral:tRNA from 1 species